AUGAGUUGUCAUGAUGGCAUCAACAUCCUCGAUGGCAAGUUCUACCUAGGGGAUGCUGGCUAUGCAUGUCGGCCAAGUAUUCUUCCACCCUUCAGGAAAUUCAGGUAUCAUCUGAACGAGUUCGCUGGUAGGAACUAUCCUAGGACUCCACGAGAGCUGUUCAAUCUCACACACUCCUGUCUUAGAGUUAUUGUGGUCUUUGGAGCUCUGAAGAACAGGUUUAAGAUCCUAGAUCAGAAGUCAUUUCACACUUUUCCCACUCAGGUUAAGCUUGUUCUUGCUUCUUGCAUUCUGCAUAAUUGAAUCCUGCAAUGGGGUUGUGAUGAACUGGUGCUUGAGGAGUAAGAUGCUAUGCGUGACGAUGUUGUCAGUUCCGGCCAUGGGGUGGAGACAUUUGACAACGAAGCCUGGAAGAACAAAAGGAUGAAGUGA
rnacentral:rRNA from 1 species